rfam:Hordeum vulgare subsp. vulgare, WGS project CAJW01000000 data, contig: morex_contig_43276
UUGUUACUCCCUCCGUCCGAAAUUACUUGUCACAAAAAUGGAUAGAAAUGGAUGUAUUUAGAACUAAAAUACAUCUAGAUACAUCCAUUCCUCGGACAAGUAUUUCCGGACGGAGGGAACAUAUC